rnacentral:rRNA from 1 species
UGCGUAGGCGGUUAUAUUAGUCGGGUGUUAAAUCCUGAGGCUCAACCCCAGGCUCGCAUUCGAAACGGUAUAACUAGAAGAAGUCAGAGGUAAGCAGAACUCUCGGUGUAGGGGUGAAAUCCGUUGAUAUCGAGGGGAAUACCAAAUGCGAAGGCAGCUUACUGGGACUUUCUUGACGCUGAGGCACGAAAGCGUGGGUAGCGAACG